CCUCGAACGUUUCUUCGUUUCUAAAAGCUGAUAAGCAGAAGCUUCUAGGGCUUUUCUGAGUUUAGGAGGUCAGUCAGGGCAUCACUCCUGAGCUCAGGGGGUCAAGGGGUCACCGGUGACACGGCCUGGACGGGGAACUAAGAAACCCAGGCCCAGAAGAAUUUCAGCUGUGUGCCGCCCACUUACCUGCCCCAACUGCCCGGGAUGGUUGGAGGUGAAGGUGUAAGGCCUGACACCCGGCCCUGACAGAGAGAGAAAGAGAGCACGAACGGGG